AUGGAGCAGCUCGGUAGCUCGUCAGGCUCAUAACCUGAAGGUCGUAGGUUCAAAUCCUACUCCCGCAA
rnacentral:tRNA from 1 species